rnacentral:rRNA from 1 species
CUUGAUAACAUAAGAGGUCCAGCCUGCCCAGUGACUCAAUUUAACGGCCGCGGUAUCCUAACCGUGCAAAGGUAGCGUAAUCACUUGUCUUCUAAAUAAAGACUAGUAUGAAAGGCACCACGAGAACUAAACUGUCUCCUUUUUCUAAUCAGUGAACCUAAUCUCCCUGUGAAAAAGCAGGGAUUUAAUAAUAAGACGAGAAGACCCUAUGGAGCUUUAAACACAUAACACUGCCCUUUUACACCACAACGUUCCCAUGCACAAUGAUUAAGAGUUUUUAGUUGGGGUGACUACGGAGUAAACCCACCCUCCGCGAUGAAUCUUAAACAAGCGACAGCUUUACACAUCAGCAAACUGACACCAUUGACCCAAUUUAUUGAUCAACGAAC